UGAACGCUGGCGGCGUGCUUAACACAUGCAAGUCGAACGAACCUUCGGGUUAGUGGCGGACGGGUGAGUAACGCGUGGGAAUCUGCCCUCAGGAGGGGGAUAACGGCUGGAAACGGCCGCUAAUACCCCAUAUGCCGAGAGGUGAAAUGAAUUUCGCCUGAGGAUGAGCCCGCGUCUGAUUAGCUAGUUGGCGAGGUAAGAGCUCACCAAGGCAUCGAUCAGUAGCUGGUCUGAGAGGAUGAUCAGCCACACUGGGACUGAGACACGGCCCAGACUCCUACGGGAGGCAGCAGUGGGGAAUUUUCCGCAAUGGGCGAAAGCCUGACGGAGCAACGCCGCGUGAGGGAUGAAGGCCUCUGGGCUGUAAACCUCUUUUCUCAAGGAAGAAGAACUGACGGUACUUGAGGAAUAAGCCACGGCUAAUUCCGUGCCAGCAGCCGCGGUAAUACGGGAGUGGCAAGCGUUAUCCGGAAUUAUUGGGCGUAAAGCGUCCGCAGGCGGCCCUUCAAGUCUGCUGUUAAAACGUGGAGCUUAACUCCAUCAUGGCAGUGGAAACUGUUGGGCUUGAGUGUGGUAGGGGCAGAGGGAAUUCCCGGUGUAGCGGUGAAAUGCGUAGAUAUCGGGAAGAACACCAGUGGCGAAGGCGCUCUGCUGGGCCAUAACUGACGCUCAUGGACGAAAGCCAGGGGAGCGAAAGGGAUUAGAUACCCCUGUAGUCCUGGCCGUAAACGAUGAACACUAGGUGUCGGGGGAAUCGACCCCCUCGGUGUCGUAGCCAACGCGUUAAGUGUUCCGCCUGGGGAGUACGCACGCAAGUGUGAAACUCAAAGGAAUUGACGGGGGCCCGCACAAGCGGUGGAGUAUGUGGUUUAAUUCGAUGCAACGCGAAGAACCUUACCAGGGUUUGACAUCCUGCGAAUCUCUUGGAAACGAGAGAGUGCCUUCGGGAGCGCAGUGACAGGUGGUGCAUGGCUGUCGUCAGCUCGUGUCGUGAGAUGUUGGGUUAAGUCCCGCAACGAGCGCAACCCACGUCUUUAGUUGCCAGCAUUUAGUUGGGCACUCUAGAGAGACCGCCGGUGAUAAACCGGAGGAAGGUGUGGAUGACGUCAAGUCAUCAUGCCCCUUACAUCCUGGGCUACACACGUACUACAAUGCUACGGACAAAGGGCAGCAAGUUCGCGAGGACAAGCAAAUCCCAUAAACCGUGGCUCAGUUCAGAUCGUAGGCUGCAACUCGCCUACGUGAAGGAGGAAUCGCUAGUAAUCGCAGGUCAGCAUACUGCGGUGAAUACGUUCCCGGGCCUUGUACACACCGCCCGUCACACCAUGGAAGUUGGCCACGCCCGAAGCCGUUACUCCAACCCUCGGGAGGA
rnacentral:rRNA from 1 species